rnacentral:rRNA from 1 species
UACGGAGGGUGCAAGCGUUGUCCGGAUUUAUUGGGCUUAAAGGGUGCGUAGGCGGCCCGUUAAGUCAGUGGUGAAAUCCCAGGGCUCAACCCUGGAACUGCCAUUGAUACUGACGGGCUUGAGUUCGUUUAAGGCGGGCGGAACUGGUGGUGUAGCGGUGAAAUGCAUAGAUACCACCAAGAACCCCGAUUGCGUAGGCAGCUCGCUGAGCCGAAACUGACGCUGAGGCACGAAAGCGUGGGGAGCGAACAGG